GACAGAGGGUGCAAGCGUUGUUCGGAAUUACUGGGCGUAAAGCGCGUGUAGGCUGCUCGGAAAGUCGGAUGUGAAAGCCCUGGGCUCAACCCAGGAAGUGCAUUCGAAACUUCUGAGCUUGAGUUUCGGAGAGGAAGGCGGAAUUCUCGGUGUAGAGGUGAAAUUCGUAGAUAUCGAGAGGAACACCGGUGGCGAAGGCGGCCUUCUGGACGGUGACUGACGCUGAGACGCGAAAGCGUGGGGAGCAAACAGG
rnacentral:rRNA from 1 species